rnacentral:rRNA from 1 species
UACGGGGGGGGCAAGCGUUGUUCGGAAUUACUGGGCGUAAAGGGCUCGUAGGCGGCCAACUAAGUCGGACGUGAAAUCCCCAGGCUCAACCUGGGAACUGCGUCUGAUACUGGAUGGCUUGAAUCCGGGAGAGGGAUGCAGAAUUCCGGGUGUAGCGGUGAAAUGCGUAGAUAUCUGGAGGAAUACCGGUGGCGAAGGCGGCAUCCUGGACCGGCAUUGACGCUGAGGAGCGAAAGCCAGGGGAGCAAACGGG